GGUUCGAUCCUGGCUCAGAUUGAAGCUGGCGGGAUGCUUUACACAUGCAAGUCGAACGGCAGCAAUGGACUUCGGUCUGGUGGCGAGUGGCGAACGGCAGCAAUACUGGAAUCGCCGGUAUGGUGAUAACUACGGGCGAAAGCGUAGCUAAUACCGCACAAUGUCCUUCGGGGAAAGCGACCUUCGGCCUCGCACUAUUAGAGCGGCCGAUAUCGGAUUAGCUUGCUGGUGGGGUAACGGCUCACCAAGGCGACGAUCCGUAGCUGGUUUGAGAGGACGACCAGCCACACUGGGACCGAGACACGGGUCAGAGACUCCUACGGGAGGCAGCAGUGGGGAAUUUUGGACAAUGGGGAAACCUUGAUCCUGCGCUACUCCGCGUGUGCGACAAGGCUUUGUCAAAAAAGCACUUUUGGCAGGGAGAAAGAAACGUAUCAGACAAUACCCCGCGUAACUGACGGCCUGCAGAAUAAGCACCGGCUAACUACGUGCCAGCAGCCGCGGGUAGAAUACGUAGGUGCAAGCGUUAAUCGGAAUUACUGGGCGUAAAGCGUGCGCAGGCGGUUCGGAAAAGAAAGAUGAAAUCCCAGAGCUUAACUUUGAACUGCAUUUUUAACUACCGAGCUAGAGUGUGUCAGAGGGAGGUGAAUUCCGCGUGUAGCAGUGAAAUGCGUAGAUAUGCGGAGUGAACACCGAUGGCGAAGGCAGCCUCCGGGGAUAACACUGACGCUCAUGCACGAAAGCGUGGGGAGCAAAACAGGAUUAGAUACCCUGGUAGUCCACGCCCUAAACGAUGUCAACUAGCUGUUGGGGCCUUGGCCCAGCAGCUAACGCGUGAAGUUGACCGCCUGGGGAGUACGGUCGCAAGAUUAAAAAACUCAAAGGAAUUGACGGGGACCCGCACAAGCGGUGGAUGAUGUGGAUUAAUUCAUGCAAAUGCGAAACUCUUACCUACCUUUGGGAUAUGUCUGGAAUCCCGAAGAGAGCUCUGGGAGUGCUCGCAAGAGAACCGGAACACAGGUGCUGCAUUGGGCUGUCGUCAGCUCGUGUCGUGAGAUGUUGGGUUAAGUCCUGCAACGAGCAGCAACCUCGGCUAAGAAGGCACAGUGGCACCUAAUGACUGCCAGACAAACCGGAGGAAGGUGGGGAGAUGACGUCAAGUCCUCGCGGCCCUUAUGGGUAGGGCUUCACACGUCAUACAAUGGUCGGGACAGAGGGUCGCCAACCCGCGAGGGGAGCCAAUCCCAGAAACCCGAUCGUAGUCCGAUCGUAGUCUGAACCGACCGCGUAGUCGAACCGGUGACCGCGGAUCAGCAUGUCGCGGUGAAUACGUUCCCGGUCUUGUACACACCGCCCGUCACACCAUGGGAGUGGGUUUUACCAGAAGUAGUUAGCCUAACCGUAAGGAGGGCGAUUACCACGGUAGGAUUCAUGACUGGGGUGGUUGUAACAAGGUAA
rnacentral:rRNA from 1 species